AUUAAAAUUAAAGAAUAUUGACUAUAGUUGGAAAUGAACGGAUGGUAUGGAUAUCGGUGGAGGAACGUGACUUGACUUUCCUCAAAAGUGAGAGCUUUCUCCCAGAUGACAACGAAAGGAUAUAAACUGUCUGAGAUAAAAGGCUGUUUUGAUCAUCACUGUAUCCUUAGUAAGCAUAUAGUAAGGGCGCUGCUUUACUGCAAGCUUCACCGGUGAUGCAGGGCCAGGGUCAUCCAUGGAGACCUGAUGAGAGAGCAGGGAAAGCAGCCUCCAAGUUCUACUUUUUCUUUCUUUGAAGUAACGCACAUCUGGGUACCGGUGUUUUCUGUUUUGUCUCUCACAACCAGAUCUCCAUUUGUAGGGAUGGCUUAGGGGAAGAAUCACACCCAAAACAAGCUCCUCUUUCCUGCAAGGAUCUUUUACCAGGGAGGCAAAG